rnacentral:lncRNA from 1 species
UUGAAACUUCCCUUUUAAUCACCUCCUUGCUAAGUAGGCACGAGCAUCACCUCCUUGCUUGUCCUUUACCAAGCAACCAAGUGCAUCACCUUCUUGCUUGUUCUUUUCCAAAUAACCAAGUGCAUCACCUUGUUGCUUCUCAUUUACUAGACAAGCAAGGGCAUCACCUUCGUGCUUGUCCUUUACUAAGCAAUCAAGCACAUCACCUUCUUGCUUGUCAUUGCCAAGCAUAAGGCGUCAAAAUGCAAGCAACCUGCAUGAUGGGUCGGAAUGCAUGCAACCAAAAGGAUACUAAGCCCCUAUAACCAUGUGACACCUAACUAGGCAUGGUGACUUGUGGACUUGCUUCACCUACUUAAGAAGUUGCAAGGCUUAAUGCUAACAUGUCAUCUCCAUGCAAAUCCUUUCCUCGGUGAUCCAUGCAACCAGUCAUGUGCAUGCUUCACCUAGUUAAGUAGCUGCAUGGCUCUAAGACGUCACCAUAUGUCAUCUCCAUAUAAAUCAUUUCUUCUUAAGCAAUACCCUUAGGUAAUCCAUGCAACGAGUCACUAGUAAGUUUAUUUGCUUUAGGUUCCCAUCCACCCUUAUAAAUAGAGGUCUUCACUUACCAAGAAAGGAAAGAAAAGAAGUGCAAAAAAGCUUUUAUAGUGUUGUUAUUUUGAAAGUUGGGUUUUUUGAGUUGUCAUAAUGAAAGUAUUGCGACAAUUCCACUUUGGAAUUCUUAUUGUAAGUGAUCUUAUGAUGCAUG